AACGAACGCUGGCGGCAGGCCUAACACAUGCAAGUCGAAGGAGAAGCCAUCUUCGGAUGGUGGAAACUGGCGCACGGGUGAGUAACGCGUGGGUAUCUACCUUGGGGUGGGGAAUAACCGCUGGAAACGGCGGCUAAUACCGCAUACGCCUUUAGAGGGAAAGCUCCGGCGCCCUAAGAGGAGCCCGCGUUGGAUUAGCUUGUUGGUGGGGUAACGGCCUACCAAGGCUACGAUCUAUAGCUGGUCUGAGAGGAUGAUCAGCCACACUGGGACUGAGAUACGGCCCAGACUCCUACGGGAGGCAGCAGUGGGGAAUAUUGGACAAUGGGCGCAAGCCUGAUCCAGCCAUGCCGCGUGAGUGAAGAAGGCCUUAGGGUUGUAAAGCUCUUUCACCUGCGAAGAUGAUGACGGUAGCAGGAGAAGAAGCCCCGGCUAACUCCGUGCCAGCAGCCGCGCACCGGCUAACUCCGUGCCAGCAGCCGCGGUAACACGGGGGGUGCAAGCGUUAUUCGGAAUCACUGGGCGUAAAGAGCGCGUAGGCGGUCUCUUAAGUCAGAUGUGAAAGCCCGGGGCUCAACCCCGGGAAGUGCAUUUGAAACGAAGGGACUUGAGUAUGGGAGAGGGAAGUGGAAUUCCUGGUGUAGCGGUGAAAUGCGUAGAUAUCAGGAGGAACACCGGUGGCGAAGGCGACUUCCUGGACCAAUACUGACGCUGAGGCGCGAAGGCGUGGGGAGCAAACAGGAUUAGAUACCCUGGUAGUCCACGCAGUAAACGUUGAACACUAGGUGUAGCGGGUAUUGACCCCUGCUGUGCCGCAGCAAACGCAUUAAGUGUUCCGCCUGGGGAGUACGGCCGCAAGGCUAAAACUCAAAGGAAUUGACGGGGGCCCGCACAAGCGGUGGAGCAUGUGGUUUAAUUCGACGCAACGCGAAGAACCUUACCUGGGUUUGACAUCCCGGGAAUUCUGUGGAAACUCAGAAGUGCCCUUCGGGGAGCCCGGUGACAGGUGCUGCAUGGCUGUCGUCAGCUCGUGUCGUGAGAUGUUGGGGUUAAGUCCCGCAACGAGCGCAACCCCUGCCUCUAGUUGACAGCAUUUAGCUGGGCACUUUAAAGGGACUGCCGCCCGGUAAAGGGGAGGAAGGUGGGGAUGACGUCAAGUCCUCAUGGCCUUUAUGCCCAGGGCUACACACGUGCUACAAUGGGCUGUACAAAGGGUAGCGACAUCGCAAGGUGAAGCCAAUCCCGUAAAGCAGUUCGUAGUUCGGAUUGGAGUCUGCAACUCGACUCCAUGAAGUUGGAAUCGCUAGUAAUCGUGGAUCAGCAUGCCACGGUGAAUACGUUCCCGGGCCUUGUACACACCGCCCGUCACACCAUGAGAGUUGGUUGUACCAGAAGUCGUUGGACCAACCCCUUUCGGGGGGGUAGGCGCCUAAGGUAUGGCUGAUGAUUGGGGUG
rnacentral:rRNA from 1 species